GAACGCUAGCGGCAGGCUUAAUACAUGCAAGUCGUGGGGCAGCAUGAGUAGCAAUACUUGAUGGCGACCGGCAAACGGGUGCGGAACACGUACACAACCUUCCUUCAAGCGGGGAAUAGCCCAGAGAAAUUUGGAUUAAUACCCCAUAAAUAUGAAAAUGGCAUCAUUUAUAUAUUAAAGCUUCGGCACUUGAUGAUGGGUGUGCGGCUGAUUAGAUAGUUGGCGAGGUAACGGCUCACCAAGUCUACGAUCAGUAGCUGAUGUGAGAGCAUGAUCAGCCACACGGGCACUGAGACACGGGCCCGACUCCUACGGGAGGCAGCAGUAAGGAAUAUUGGACAAUGGACGAAAGUCUGAUCCAACCAUGCCGCGUGAAGGAUUAAGGUCCUCUGGAUUGUAAACUUCUUUUAUAUGGGACGAAAAAGAGAAUUCUUUCUCACUUGACGGUACCAUACGAAUCAGCACCGGCUAACUCCGUG
rnacentral:rRNA from 1 species